GACUGAGAUCGGCACAUCCAAAGGGAUGAAGUUAAUGACAAGGAAGCAGCAUCUGUAGCUGGCACAGAUGGCAGUCAUUUUGUAAUUGCGAAUGCUAAAAAUAUGACGCCUUCAGAAUGUGAUAUCUGACAAGCAUUCUCACAGCAUGAAGAAAAUCAGGGUGCCAUCAGAAAUGUUGAAUGAGUGAAAGUGUACAUAUGGAAGUUGAUUUCCCUGUCAGUGGCAUUAACCCAGAAACUAUCAUAAUUCAUGUCCACGGACCUUGUUGCCAAGGAACUUUAAAUGAUAGAACCUUAAACACUCUUUCUGUAAGGAGCAAUUACAGAUUUGAAAGGUUACAGUUCCUGUGGCUUUCCCAUAGACAAUUACCAGGAUUUCCUGAAUAGCUGUGAGCUACAUUCAAAAGAAACAAGCGUACAAAUUGAAUGGAUUGUCCAGAAGUCAUUUUUUUCCUUCCUCAAAAUCUACGGACCUGCAUUUCCAAGCCUGGACAGGUACAAGGACGAGUUCUGGUCAGGAAAUACCGUGCAGUAUGUAUUUUAUCCAACGGAAUUCCGAUCUGGAAGCCAGCCGAGUUAUUAGGCUUAAUUCUCUAUUGGUUGGGCAUUUCUCCACAAGAAAGCUGCAGAAUACAACUGGGAGUUUUCCUGUUGUUUGAGUUCCAGUUCAUGGAUCCUCUGCAAUAUGUGCCACUGCUGCUGUUGGAUGCCUGCAUUCCUACCGCAGGUAUUCUAUAUCCUAGUAAUCCUACCGUGGUCAGGGAAGAAGAAUCCCAAUGGAUAUGUUUAAAGAUUAUGGAUAAAGUGCAAUCUCAACAUGAAAUAAAGUGCUGGAAAAUGUGAUUAGUAUAAAUAUGUACUUGAUGAUAUGAUGAUGCGUGGAUAUGGUGGGCUGAAUGGACUGUUUCUGUGCUUUAUGUCCCCAUGACAUUAACAUCGGGGAGUUUCCCAUCAAUCAGCCCAUAGCCGGCAAUGCCUUGGCAUUUCAAGUGCCUCAGCUAAAUAUUUAUUGAAUGUUGUAUUGAGCACCUACCUCAUUCAUCCCCUCAGGCAUUAGAUUCCAGGUUUUGCUAACGCUCAAUGUGGAAAAUACCGUCCUCAAAUCCUUUCUAAAUCUCCUUUUCCUUUCCUUAAACCUACACCUUCUGGUCAUAGACACUUCUGCAAUGGUGAAAGGUUUCUCAUUAUCUGCACCAUCUGUGUCCAUCAUUAUUUUGUACAUCUGAAUCAGGUCACUGGUCAGCUCUAUCUGUUCCAGAGAAAACAAGCCCAGCCUGCCAAAUUUCUCCUCUUAGCUGAAAUGCUCCAAACUGGGCAACAUCUUGGUAAACCUCCUCUGCACCUUUUAAAUUGCAAUCAUAUCCUGCAAACUCAACACCAAAAAUAUAUUUAUUUCACAUAUGUGUUGCAUUUUACCCACAAUGUUUAAUUAUAUCCAUUGGGAUCCUUCCUCCCGAGCCCCAGUAAACCUUCCAGAAGAUAGAAUACUUGCAGUAGGAAUGCAAGCAUCCAGCAGAAGUAUGUGCACAUACUUCAGAGGAACCAGGAAGAAAGGGAGUGUUUUCAUUCAUCUUUAGAGAAUAUUGUUUUUAUGCAAUGGCUAACAUAAAAAAAUACUGCUUGAAAAUAAUUAAAUAAAUGGUAUCCCUUCAAUACUGGUGGUGUACGCCUAAACUGAACUACAUUACAAACCACAUUAGGUCUAAAGAAGGACCUUGAUCUUAAAUGUCACCUAUUCCUUCUCCCCAGUGAUGUUGCCUGCCUACUGAGUUACUCCAGCAUUUUGUGUCUAUCUUCAGUGUAAACCAGCAUCUGCAGUCCCUUCCUAUACAUUAUGAACCUAUUCUUAUGGUCAGAACAGCUGGAAUUCAUGACAGGGUUUCACAUUUCCUUUGUACCCUUUCAUGCACAUCUCGUAUGCGUAUGUGACGAAUAAACUUGACGACUUGAUCUAUGGGCAUCACUUGACUUAACUUAAUACUUGGUGGAAAACUCAGUACAUCAGAAGACUCAUACCAAAAUUACCUUGAAUGAAGGGGCAACAAUUUUUGGGGCCUGAAUGUACCAAGCUAAAUAAUAGUUUGGCCAGUCACAGUGAUAACACAGUGCCACAAAUACUUUGCCUGAUAUUGGCUAAGAGGACACAUGCUAUCACUCUGAUACAGGGACCGGAUUCAUUUUUGAAACACGCGGAUGCCAUUGCCAUGAAGUAAUUCCCACGACACAUGUCAAUGAGGAAUGCUGUUACCUCAGAGGUAGGAGAUAAGCUUAAAAGUCUUUCACCAUUGCCAUAUCCUCUUGAUUGCUUAAUCUGUAGUGUUGCUAGAAUAGGACAUGAUGAAAACUGGGCCCUCCACUUCUUUGCUCUCAAGAAAAUAAUUUCUCCUUCAUGGUGGAUAUUUUAGCACAGCUUUAUUAAAUUUGAGCCAAACAUAACACAAAAGACAAUAUUACAUUUUGUGCUGUGCAGAUAGUUCCGCCCCUUGAUCUUUAAACUUUUUUUUUGCUAGCGGCCGUAAAUCCAACUUGAAUGAAAGCAUCUGGUGAUGUCUCAUUUUAUCUCUUGCUGUAAUAAAGCCAACAGCAGAAUUUGUGAUCUGUUUAUACCCAGAACAGCACUCAGCUCUUAAAGGA